AAAUUGAAGAGUUUGAUCAUGGCUCAGAUUGAACGCUGGCGGCAGGCCUAACACAUGCAAGUCGAGCGGUAGCACAGAGAGCUUGCUCUCGGGUGACGAGCGGCGGACGGGUGAGUAAUGUCUGGGAAACUGCCUGAUGGAGGGGGAUAACUACUGGAAACGGUAGCUAAUACCGCAUAACGUCGCAAGACCAAAGUGGGGGACCUUCGGGCCUCAUGCCAUCAGAUGUGCCCAGAUGGGAUUAGCUAGUAGGUGGGGUAAUGGCUCACCUAGGCGACGAUCCCUAGCUGGUCUGAGAGGAUGACCAGCCACACUGGAACUGAGACACGGUCCAGACUCCUACGGGAGGCAGCAGUGGGGAAUAUUGCACAAUGGGCGCAAGCCUGAUGCAGCCAUGCCGCGUGUAUGAAGAAGGCCUUCGGGUUGUAAAGUACUUUCAGCGAGGAGGAAGGCAUUAAGGUUAAUAACCUUGGUGAUUGACGUUACUCGCAGAAGAAGCACCGGCUAACUCCGUGCCAGCAGCCGCGGUAAUACGGAGGGUGCAAGCGUUAAUCGGAAUUACUGGGCGUAAAGCGCACGCAGGCGGUCUGUCAAGUCGGAUGUGAAAUCCCCGGGCUCAACCUGGGAACUGCAUUCGAAACUGGCAGGCUAGAGUCUUGUAGAGGGGGGUAGAAUUCCAGGUGUAGCGGUGAAAUGCGUAGAGAUCUGGAGGAAUACCGGUGGCGAAGGCGGCCCCCUGGACAAAGACUGACGCUCAGGUGCGAAAGCGUGGGGAGCAAACAGGAUUAGAUACCCUGGUAGUCCACGCCGUAAACGAUGUCGACUUGGAGGUUGUGCCCUUGAGGCGUGGCUUCCGGAGCUAACGCGUUAAGUCGACCGCCUGGGGAGUACGGCCGCAAGGUUAAAACUCAAAUGAAUUGACGGGGGCCCGCACAAGCGGUGGAGCAUGUGGUUUAAUUCGAUGCAACGCGAAGAACCUUACCUACUCUUGACAUCCAGAGAACUUAGCAGAGAUGCUUUGGUGCCUUCGGGAACUCUGAGACAGGUGCUGCAUGGCUGUCGUCAGCUCGUGUUGUGAAAUGUUGGGUUAAGUCCCGCAACGAGCGCAACCCUUAUCCUUUGUUGCCAGCGAUUCGGUCGGGAACUCAAAGGAGACUGCCAGUGAUAAACUGGAGGAAGGUGGGGAUGACGUCAAGUCAUCAUGGCCCUUACGAGUAGGGCUACACACGUGCUACAAUGGCAUAUACAAAGAGAAGCGACCUCGCGAGAGCAAGCGGACCUCAUAAAGUAUGUCGUAGUCCGGAUUGGAGUCUGCAACUCGACUCCAUGAAGUCGGAAUCGCUAGUAAUCGUAGAUCAGAAUGCUACGGUGAAUACGUUCCCGGGCCUUGUACACACCGCCCGUCACACCAUGGGAGUGGGUUGCAAAAGAAGUAGGUAGCUUAACCUUCGGGAGGGCGCUUACCACUUUGUGAUUCAUGACUGGGGUGAAGUCGUAACAAGGUAACCGUAGGGGAACCUGCGGUUGGAUCACCUCCUUACCUUAAAGAA
rnacentral:rRNA from 1 species